GUAGUCCCACAAACAUCGGCGUUUCCCUUUCUGCAGCUGUCCGAAAGCGACACAAUCUCUUCCUCUCAAUGACUGGUCGUCUGCUCAAAGUUUUCAACAAUCUGAUUUGCGAUUCUCUCCCAAAUAUGCGACAAAUAGCAUCGAGAGAGAGAAAAAAUGAAUAUCAGAUCACUGUUUUCUUGUUGGAAAGGAGUGGGCGUUGAAGGAGAAAGAUUGGGGGGGAAACGAGCUUUGUAUCGCGGUGUCUUUCCCUUGGGUUCACCACGUUGUUUUUGAGCACUUAUAAUUUCCUUUGUUGUGUCCAAAACAUCUCGAGUUGUCCAUGUUUUAUCACCGGCGUCAGCACGCGGUCCGAGAGUCUCCGGCGGAGGGGGAAAAAGAGGACUUCUUCCAGGAUAAAGGCGAAAUUUGGUGACGGCCAAGACUCUGGACAAUGUUCUGCAGGAGACAAACUCACGAUCCUUCACUGCAGUUGAAGGACAGAACAGAUGUGCUGAGGGAAAGCAGAUCUGAUUCUCCAGCUUUUUAACAAGUAUCCUAUGAAGUGAGAAAUGGUGUUUAGAGACUGAACUGCUGAGAUCUUCGUCUAGAUGCUGCAGGGUUUUAUGACUCUGUUGGAAUGAGACUUAAAACUGCAUAAGUUAGAAUUACUGAAAUAUUCUAUUUACCAGAAGUGGGCCCUGCAUGAAAUUGGUGUGGGCUAGAGCCGGCAUCACUGGCUCAUUUGUCUUGGAGCUGCCAAAAUUAUCAUCUUACUGGGAAAACAUUUUUCUAACAUUCUCAAAAAUAGGUGAAAAGCCAGUAGAUCCAGAUCUCCGUAUCGAAGAGAUUAUAGUGAUUUUGAGAUAGCUAAAAACAGCACAGAACAAAAUAUAGUUUCAUUUGUCUGUCUACUAGAACAAAGUUUAAUAUUAUUAAACUGGAAACAGAAUGAAAACAGUUGAAGUCAGAAUUAUUAGCCCCCCUUUAUUUUUUUUUUAUUUUUCAAAUAUUUCCCAAAUGAUGUUUAACAGAGCAAGGAAAUUUUCACAGUAUGUCUGAUAAUAUUUUUUCUUCUGGAGAAAGUCUUAUUUGUUUUAUUUCGGCUAGAGCAAAAGCAAUUUUAAUUUUUUUUAAAAAACAAUUUAAGGUUAAAAUUAUAAGCCUCUUUAAGCUAUAUUUUUCAAACUGUCUACAGAACAAACCAUCAUUAUACAAUAACUUGCCUAAUUACC
rnacentral:lncRNA from 1 species